CCGAGGGUGCCACAAGACCUGCUAAAUCUUUAAUCUGGAAAUAAAUACCAGCCCCCUC
rnacentral:tRNA from 1 species